AGACAUAAGAAGCUUGACAAUUAAGGGUUAUGGAGGUGAAUAUUUCCCAUCAUGGAUGUCUACAUUGCCACUCAAUAAUCUGACGGUGCUGAGAUUGAAUGGCUGCAGCAAGUUGAGGCAACUCCCAGCACUUGGAUGUCUUCCUCGCCUUCAGAUUCUACAGAUAAAUGGAAUGGGUACUGUACAAUGUAUAGGCAAUGAGUUCUAUAGCAGCAGUAGUGGCAGUGCAACAGUACUGUUUCCAGCACUAAAAGAACUCACUUUGGAGGAUAUGGAUGGUCUUGAAGAAUGGGUGGUACCAGGUGGAGAAGGUGAUCAAGUAUUUCCUUGUCUUGAAAGGUUGUGCAUUGAGGGGUGUGGCAAGUUGAGGCAACUCCCAGCACUUGGAUGUCUUCCUCACCUUCAGAUUCUACAGAUAAAAGGAAUGGGUACUGUACAAUGUAUAGGCAAUGAGUUCUAUAGCAGCAGCAGUGGCAGUGCAGCAGUACUGUUUCCAGCACUAAAAGAACUCACUUUGAAGUAUAUGGAUGGUCUUGAAGAAUGGG
rnacentral:lncRNA from 1 species